GAUGGUUGAUCCUGCCAGUUGUCAUAUGCUUGUCUCAAUGAUUAAGCCAUGCAUGUGUAAGUAUGAACGAAUUCAGACGGGGAAACUGCGAAUGGCUUCAUUAAAUAAUCAGUUUUUAUAAACGUUUGAUUUUGAUGGAUAAACGUACUAAACUCGGAAUAAUCCGAGUAGUAAUUUCUAAAUGAGCCAUAAAUACGUGCAACAACAACCCCCAUGACACUAUCUAUGGGAAAGGGAUAGCCACAUUAUAUUUAGAUAUAAAAAGGAUUUCUCGUCGCGGGCUCUGCCCGUUGCUCUGUUGAUUCAUGAUAACUCGAAGGAUCGCAUGGCCUUAGUUCUGGCGACGCAUCAUUCAAAUAAGUUCAAAAUAUGCCCUAUUUAAUCAACUUUCGAUGGUAAAGGGAUAUUAGGUGGCGAAUAAGCUCAGAGCCAUAGGGCUCUAUAGCUCUAAGACCCUGGUAACGGGGAACGGAGAAUUAGGGUUCGAUUCCGGAGAGGGAGCCUGAGAACGGGCUACCACAUCCAAGGAAGGCAGCAGGCGCGCAAAUUACACACUCCUGACACGGGGAGGUAGUUACAAUAAAUAACAAUCCCGGGCUCUUUGAGUCUGGUAAUUGGAAUGAGUACAAUCUAAAUCCCUUAAUGAGGAUCCAUUGGAGGGCAGUCUGGUGCCAGCAGCCAAGGUAAUUCCAGCUCCAAUAACGUAUAUUUAAGUUGUUGCAGGUUGCUUGUAGUGCCAACGCUUGGGAUGAGAGUCGCAUUCACGGGUCCCUGCCUUUGGGUGAGCACGAGGUCGGCCUUGUCUCUUUGGUCGGCGAUUUAGUGCUCCUGAGAUUAUAACUGGCCGGUGUCGUGCCUCCGGCGCUGUAACUUUGAAGAAAUUAGAGAGAUCAAAGCAAGCCUACGCUCUGUAUAAAUUAGCAUGGGAUAACAUCAUAGAAUUUCGAUCCUAUUGUGUUGGGCUUAGGGAUCGGAGUAAUGAUUAACAGGGAACGUCGGGGGCAUUCGUAUUACAUAGUCAGAGGUGAAAUACUUGGAUUUAUGAAAGACAAACACCUGCGAAAGCAUUUCCCAAUGACGUUUUCAUUAAUCAAGAAGGAAAGUUGGGUUGUGGGCCUCGAAACGAUCAGAAAAUUAUCCGUCCUAGUCUCAAAUUCAUAAACGAGCCGACCGUGGAUCAGCGGAUGUUGCUUUUAGGACUCGGCUGUCACCUUAUGAGAAAUCAAAGUUUUUUGGGUUCCGGGGGGAGUAUAUGGUCGCAAGGCUGAAACUUAAAGGAAUUGACGGAAGGGAACCACCAGGAGUGGAGCCGGAGGCUUAUUUGUCACGGUGGGAAGCUUAAACCAGGUCCAGACCUCACUGUUAGGAGUUGACACGAGCUGAAGAGCUCUUUUGUUUUAUGGGUGGGUGGGUGCAUGGCGUUUCUUAGUUGGUGGAGCGAUUUGACUGGUUAAUUCCGUUAACAAACGAGACCUCAGCCUGCUAAAUAGCUACGUGGAGGCAUACCUUCACGGCCCGCUUCUUAGAGGGACUAUGGCCGUUUAGGCCAAGGAAGUUUUAGGCAAUAACAGUUCUGUGAUGCCCUUAGAUGUUCUGGGCCGCACGCGCGCUAUACUGAUGUAUUCAACGAGAUCACACCUUGGCCGACAUGCCCGGGUAAUCUUUGAAAAUUCAUCGUGAUGGGGAUAGAUCAUUGCAAAUGUUGGUCUUCAACGAGGAAUUCCUAGUAAGCCGGAGUCAUCAGCUCGCGUGUGCUACGUCCCUGCCUUGUAAUACAAUAAAGAAGAAAGAAGGAGGAUUUCAAAUGCGAGAUCUAAAAACAUAUCUUUCCGUAGCACCGGUACUAAGUACUCUAUGGUUCGUUUCGUUAGCAGGUUUAUUAAUA
rnacentral:rRNA from 1 species